AGUCGAACGAAGUUUUUCGGAACUUAGUGGCGGACGGGUGAGUAACGCGUGAGAAUCUGCCUUAAGGAUUGGGACAACAGUGGGAAACCGCUGCUAAUACCAAAUAUGCCUUUUAGUGAAACGGGUAAAACCGCCUUAAGAUGAGCUCGCGUCUGAUUAGCUAGUAGGUGUGGUAAGAGCGCACCUAGGCGACGAUCAGUAGCUGGUCUGAGAGGACGACCAGCCACACUGGGACUGAGACACGGCCCAGACUCCUACGGGAGGCAGCAGUGAGGAAUUUUCCGCAAUGGGCGAAAGCCUGACGGAGCAAUACCGCGUGAGGGAGGAAGGUUCUUGGAUUGCAAACCUCUUUUCUCAGAGAAGAAUAAUGACGGUAUCUGAGGAAUAAGCAUCGGCUAACUCCGUGCCAGCAGCCGCGGUAAUACGGAGGAUGCAAGCGUUAUCCGGAAUGAUUGGGCGUAAAGGGUCUGUAGGUGGUUGUUCAAGUCUGCUGUUAAAGCGUCUGGCUUAACCAGAUAAAGGCGGUGGAAACUGAACAACUAGAGUGCGGUAGGGGUAGAGGGAAUUCCCAGUGUAGCGGUGAAAUGCGUAGAUCUUGGGAAGAACACCUGUGGCGAAAGCGCUCUACUGGACCGCGACUGACACUGAUGGACGAAAGCUAGGGGAGCGAAUGGGAUUAGAUACCCCAGUAGUCCUAGCCGUAAACGAUGGAUACUAG
rnacentral:rRNA from 1 species